rnacentral:sRNA from 1 species
AGCUCCCACUGUCUGGGCUCAGGAAGCAGAAGAGCUUCAAAGUUCCUACAGACCUUGACAGAGCUUCCUCUGGCUUUGCCUGUGCGGAACAAUUCUGAGGGUUAUUUUCAAAGCUUUGUCACCACCAUACGAUACAGAGAACCCUUACAGUGCCAAAGUUCGGGAGCAGCUGAAGAUCACCAACCUUCGCGUGCAGCUGCUGAAACGACAGUCUUGUCCCUGUCAGAGAAAUGACCUGAACGAAGAGCCUCAACAUUUUACACACUAUGCAAUCUAUGAUUUCAUUGUCAAGGGCAGCUGCUUCUGCAAUGGCCACGCUGAUCAAUGCAUACCUGUUCAUGGCUUCAGACCUGUCAAGGCCCCAGGAACAUUCCACAUGGUCCAUGGGAAGUGUAUGUGUAAGCACAACACAGCAGGCAGC